UCGCGUAAGGAACACGAACUAUUAUGAAGUAGUAAUUCCAGAGUACAGUUUAGAAGAAUUCCGUUGCCAUUUUCGAAUGAGUCGAAGUUGUUUUUCGGAUCUUAUGAAAAAGAUUGGAAAUCUCAAGCGUGUUCAUCAUUUGGAAACAAAUUUUUGUAUACUAUUUGGAUUUUAAGUAAACAAGAGUUUUUUGUCCUCUGGUGAUCGUUUCAAUUUAGCACCAAGUUCGGCACACAAAUCAUUUUGUCAGAUUCUGGAUUUGUUGUGUUCCCUUUUGGCUUAAUACAUUAAGUAGCCAUCAAAAAGCCAAUAAAAUGAUAUAUCCCGGGUAUGUGUACAUAAAAUGUUUGACAAAUUCAGUUCAUCAUUUUGAAAUAACACACACAUAAAUAUUAUUAUGAAGGUAUUUCGAGAAAAAUCAGGAGGUUAUAUUCCUGGAAUCGUUGGUGCGACAGAUGGGUGUCACAUUCAAAUCAAACAGCCGGUGAAGAACCCUAUAGACUAUUACAACAGAAAAAUACGCAUUCCAUUAUUUUACAAGAGUUUGUGACCAUCGAGGUGUUUUAAUCGGUAUUUAUGCAGGCGAUUGUGAUGAUUGAAAUAUUUGGAUGUUUCAAGUCCUAUGCUGGCCAAUAAAAUUAUAACAGCUAGUUGCAUUUUGCACAACCACAUUCAUUUAUUUAAUGAAUCCGGAAAAUUUUCUGACAUCGAAACUGAAAAUGAUGACGAUCUGUUAAACGAUUUAAAUUCAAAUCAUAACAUGGAAAAUCAAGAGAGAAGCAGCUGUGCUAGGAAAAGAAACUUCUUGUUGAACA